rnacentral:lncRNA from 1 species
CAUACUGCCUAGUCUUACGUAUUUCUUUUCUUCAAAUUUAAAUUCUUAAUAUAUUGUCUUUCGUAAGUAUUCCAAUUAGUAGUUUUCGUAAGUAUAGUCAAUUCCAGGUAAAGUAUAAUCCAUUUUUCCAAUUGUCAAAUCCAGAGUAAAUAUCAAUUCAGUACGAUUUUCCUCGUCAGUGAAUAUGUUUCAUACUAUCCGUAAAAUAUGUUUUUACUAUCCUCUUCUUAAUUUAAAGCUUCAUUGAGAUAUAGAAUUUGCAAUUCCACUAUUUGCUCUUUGCUCCAUGUAUUGAGCGUGCUUCAAAAUUUCAAAAACUUAGAGAUAAAUUAUAUGAAAUAUGGACACCCAAAAAUUUCACUUCAGAUGUAGUGGGUAACAAACAAUUAUUAUAUUGCACAGCAGGUGUACUGUGACAAUGUUUACCAAAUACAAUAACUUUAGACUUGGAUGGAUUCACACUGAGAUCAAGGAAUCCCUAUUUGUAAUAACUCAAGGCAUAGAAUAUCUAUGUUUACACUAUUAAAAGCACCUGCGAUGUCAAAGAAUACACCGACCAAGUUUUCAUUUGCGGAUAUAGAGUUUUGUAUAUCCAGCUGUAACUGGCAAACGCUUUCUCUAGCAGAACGAUUUCUACGAAAACCAAAUUGAUUGGAAGGAAUAUGAUAACUAGUACCAAGAGGACAAUCAUGUACAGACCAGUCACAGUUGAGAGCCAGUGAUGAAGAUACCAAUGAUAAAUCCAAAGCAUUGGGUCGCCAUGUUGGAGAACCGAUAGUCGUUGCUUGCCCAUCAUUAAGGAGAACCAAAUUAUUAUCCUCAAUAACCUCUAGAAUAUUUCGACCACGCGGGCUGUCGGAACCACAGCCCCAACAAGUGUGAUGAGCGUUAAAAUCGCCCGCAAAUAUGAAAGGACUAGGAAUAGACUUAACCAAUGUAUCAAAAUUGUUUUUGCUGAAGACUGGGUUAGAGUUUAAAGGACUAUAGAAACUAACUAUACAUAUAUCUUUAUUAUUAACUGUUAUUUUCACACAUACAUUUUGUAAGGAAUUAUCGAAAUAGGUGUUAAUUCUAGAAUAAAUAAUGCUUUUAUGUAUUAUAAUUGCAACACCAUUGUGUUUGUUACCACAAUCAUUCCUUUCAACAUUGUAAUUUUUAAUUUUAAAAUUUUGUUCAGGUUUUAACCAAGUUUCACUGAUUAUAGCAAUAUGAAUAUUGUGUGUAUAAAGAAAAUUAAUAAAUAUAUGUUUGUUACUAUUCAGACUUUGGGCAUUCCAUUGUAUUAUAUUUAAAGUUGAUAAAUCCAUUAUGAAGAUGAAGGGAAUUUAUUACUUAGCGUUGCUUUUAAAACUUCUUUAAUGGAAGUAGAAUUAAUAGGUGCAUCUUUAUUACUUAUUAUUUUAAUAAUUGUUUCAACUAAUGUGCUUAUAAAUGUAUCCGAUUUCAUUAAAUUAUUAAUUUGCGUAUCUAAAGUACGAGCAGAAAGAGCUGGAAAUGCAUUGGAGUCAAAAAGUUCUGAAUAUGUGGCAUUUCUAGAUUUUAUUUUAUUUUCUUCAA